rnacentral:rRNA from 1 species
GAUGAACGCUGGCGGCGUGCCUAAUACAUGCAAGUCGAGCGAACAGACGAGGAGCUUGCUCCUCUGACGUUAGCGGCGGACGGGUGAGUAACACGUGGAUAACCUACCUAUAAGACUGGGAUAACUUCGGGAAACCGGAGCUAAUACCGGAUAAUAUAUUGAACCGCAUGGUUCAAUAGUGAAGGACGGUUUUGCUGUCACUUAUAGAUGGAUCCGCGCCGCAUUAGCUAGUUGGUAAGGUAACGGCUUACCAAGGCAACGAUGCGUAGCCGACCUGAGAGGGUGAUCGGCCACACUGGAACUGAGACGCGGUCCAGACUCCUACGGGAGGCAGCAGUAGGGAAUCUUCCGCAAUGGGCGAAAGCCUGACGGAGCAACGCCGCGUGAGUGAUGAAGGUCUUCGGAUCGUAAAACUCUGUUAUUAGGGAAGAACAAAUGUGUAAGUAACUAUGCACGUCUUGACGGUACCUAAUCAGAAAGCCACGGCUAACUACGUG